rnacentral:rRNA from 1 species
AUUGAACGCCGGCGGUAGGCCUAACACAUGCAAGUCGAGCGGAUGAGAGGAGCUUGCUCCUCGAUUCAGCGGCGGACGGGCGAGUAAUGCCUAGGAAUCUGCCUAGUAGUGGGGGACAACGUUUAGAAAGGAACGCUAAUACCGCAUACGUCCUACGGGAGAAAGUGGGGGAUCUUCGGAUCUCACGCUAUUAGAUGAGCGCUGGUAGGAUUAGCUACUUGGUAGGGUAACGGCCUACCAAGGCGACGAUCCGUAACUGGGCUGAGAGGAUGAUCAGUCACACUGGAACGGAGACACGGUCCAGACUCCUACGGGAGGCAGCAGUGGGGAAUAUUGGACAAUGGGCGAAAGCCUGAUCCAGCCAUGCCGCGUGUGUGAAGAAGGCCCUCGGGUCGUAAAGCACUUUAAGUUGGGAGGAAGGGCUUACAGCGAAUACCUGUGAGUUUUGACGUUACCGACAGAAUAAGCACCGGCUAACUUCGUGCCAGCAGCCGCCGUAA